UACGUAGGGGGCUAGCGUUGUCCGGAAUCAUUGGGCGUAAAGCGCGUGUAGGCGGCCCGGUAAGUCCGCUGUGAAAGUCGGGGGCUCAACCCUCGAAUGCCGGUGGAUACUGUCGGGCUAGAGUACGGAAGAGGCGAGUGGAAUUCCCGGUGUAGCGGUGAAAUGCGCAGAUAUCGGGAGGAACACCUAUGGCGAAGGCAGCUCGCUGGGACGUUACUGACGCUGAGACGCGAAAGCGUGGGGAGCAACAGG
rnacentral:rRNA from 1 species